UAAGAGGGGGGAGGCAUAUUCAAUAGGUUUUGCAGUGAUUUGGCUAGAAAGAAACAAAAGUGUCCAAUGGGGGAUCACACAUGGAAUAACAAAGCUCUUGCCCAAUUCAAGUCUGACCCUCUUGCCAUAGUUUGGAACAAAUUUGACAAUUCCAGAAACUAACGACGUUGAUGAUAUGGUGCUUCAACAAAUUGGUUGCAAAUGGAGCGAUCAUAAAGCCGAAUUGAAAAUAAAAGCUUUCAAGGGGAAUCCAUCACGUCAAGAAGUAGACCAUAAUGUGCCUCCAGGGAUUUAACGUGCCGACUGGUUAAAGCUUGUUAAUUACUGGUAUUCUUCAGAGGGCAAGCUAAAAUCUUCUGAGGGUCAGGAUGCGGUUAAAGGUAAGAUACAUGUUCACAGUACUGGAUCCAAGAGUUUUGCUUGAAAGAGGGAUGAGAAAGUAAGAUGCAACCUAAUAUUACUUUAUAAUCUUUGAACUCAUAUCGUUUGUUUCUUAUUGCUACAAUAUGGGUAGGAACAGAAGAAGAAAAGAAAAAUUGGAGAUAUAGAAUUCUUCAAGAUCAGUCAUAUGCGCAAAGAUGGCACUUAUGUGGAUGAUAAACCAAAGGGUUUGUGGAUCAUGCUAUGGAUAAAAUACAAGCAAAAAUCGGGACUCGAAUCUUGUCAGAGGACACUCUUGAUUUGGAAACCCUUGUGGACUUUGAGUUAAGAGGAGAAGACAAUAAUGGCCAUAGUAGGGGCCAUGGGUUUCGAUGCCCACCUUCAAAAUUGAAAGGAGUAAGAGGAAAAUUGCAAAAAAAAAAGGUCGUGGUUGGUCUCAAUCUGUUGAUGUGUCAACUGACUUAAUGAAAAUGUAAGAUAUAAUUUUACAAAUGGAGAACAAUUAUCAACAACAAAUGGCGCAAAUGCGAGCUGUUUAUCAACAAGAAAUGGCCCAAGUGCAAGUUGGAUGUCAACAAGAAAUGAGACAAAUGAAGCAAAUGCAAAAUCAAAUGGAGUUUUGGACAAGAAUAUGGAGUAAUGAGGUUGAGAACUCCAAUAUUAGUAACAAUGAUAUUUUUGGAAAUAAACAGGUUCUAAGCACCUCUAGUGGACAUGGAGAGUAUCAACCGAUAUUGGGGCACUGACAUCUACAAGCUGGAAAAGUUAGCAGGGCAUUUUUCACCUCAAGAUAUGGGCACACAUGUGGUUGUUUUGUGACAAGUUACUGAUGCUUGGGACCAUCUCAUUUUCAUCCUAAAUAUCUUAAUAAAUCUUUCAUUGCAAAUAGACUCUUGGAUCAGCUUAGUCCCAUUUCUUGUUCCAUACAUAGUUUUAAUACAUUUGGGCCCAAGCUUGAUCCCUUUUCUUUGUUAUGGUAGUAUCAUUAUUCUGGAUGAUCUCUAGGUGGUCGGUUUGAACUAGGGUCCCAAGUUUCAUAUCGUAGUUGCAUGAAACUGUGAGCAUUUUAGAUUAGUUGAAGUUAUUUGUUUUAUUGUAAUUGCUAAGUACAGUUGCAACUUGUAAUAACAAUUUGGAGUCCCAUACAGUCAACGAAGUAAAUUUAGAUAUGAGCCGAAGUUGCAACCUUUUUGAGUUGAAAUGCGGUGUUUAGAUUAUAUACUAUUACCAGCAUGCCUAGUUUUAAAAACACUUGGAUAGUAGGCUAUCUUUUUGGUGGAUUUACAAUUUAUAAUUCUAUUUGUGUUUGAUUUUGCAGGUAGAAAAGUUAAAGAGAAGGUAGCACAGGGAGGAGCAAAGAGCUCAUGUGAGGGAUGAGAGCAAAAGAUGUGAUGAGCUGUUCAAUGAAUUUUAUAGGAAUAUUAGCUCGAUUUUGUAUACAUAUGCCAUUUGAUGUUUAGUAGGGAGAAACUGAGAUAUUUGUAUGGGACAUGGAAUUUGAGAGGAAUACUAGUUUGAUUUUGUAUCCAUGUGUAAUUUGAUGUUUAGUUGGGAGAACUGAGAUAUUUGUAUGGGACAUAAUAGUUGUGUAUUAAAUGUGAAAUGAGAAAAUUUUUAUUUUGUAAA